GGUUAAGCGACUAAGCGUACACGGUGGAUGCCCUGGCAGUCAGAGGCGAUGAAGGACGUGCUAAUCUGCGAUAAGCGUCGGUGAGGUGAUAUGAACCGUUAUAACCGGCGAUUUCCGAAUGGGGAAACCCAGUGUGUUUCGACACACUAUCAUUAACUGAAUCCAUAGGUUAAUGAGGCGAACCGGGGGAACUGAAACAUCUAAGUACCCCGAGGAAAAGAAAUCAACCGAGAUUCCCCCAGUAGCGGCGAGCGAACGGGGAGGAGCCCAGAGCCUGAAUCAGUGUGUGUGUUAGUGGAAGCGUCUGGAAAGGCGCGCGAUACAGGGUGACAGCCCCGUACACAAAAAUGCACAUGCUGUGAGCUCGAUGAGUAGGGCGGGACACGUGGUAUCCUGUCUGAAUAUGGGGGGACCAUCCUCCAAGGCUAAAUACUCCUGACUGACCGAUAGUGAACCAGUACCGUGAGGGAAAGGCGAAAAGAACCCCGGCGAGGGGAGUGAAAAAGAACCUGAAACCGUGUACGUACAAGCAGUGGGAGCCUCUUAAUGGGGUGACUGCGUACCUUUUGUAUAAUGGGUCAGCGACUUAUAUUCUGUAGCAAGGUUAACCGAAUAGGGGAGCCGAAGGGAAACCGAGUCUUAACUGGGCGUUAAGUUGCAGGGUAUAGACCCGAAACCCGGUGAUCUAGCCAUGGGCAGGUUGAAGGUUGGGUAACACUAACUGGAGGACCGAACCGACUAAUGUUGAAAAAUUAGCGGAUGACUUGUGGCUGGGGGUGAAAGGCCAAUCAAACCGGGAGAUAGCUGGUUCUCCCCGAAAGCUAUUUAGGUAGCGCCUCGUGAAUUCAUCUCCGGGGGUAGAGCACUGUUUCGGCAAGGGGGUCAUCCCGACUUACCAACCCGAUGCAAACUGCGAAUACCGGAGAAUGUUAUCACGGGAGACACACGGCGGGUGCUAACGUCCGUCGUGAAGAGGGAAACAACCCAGACCGCCAGCUAAGGUCCCAAAGUCAUGGUUAAGUGGGAAACGAUGUGGGAAGGCCCAGACAGCCAGGAUGUUGGCUUAGAAGCAGCCAUCAUUUAAAGAAAGCGUAAUAGCUCACUGGUCGAGUCGGCCUGCGCGGAAGAUGUAACGGGGCUAAACCAUGCACCGAAGCUGCGGCAGCGACGCUUAUGCGUUGUUGGGUAGGGGAGCGUUCUGUAAGCCUGUGAAGGUGUGCUGUGAGGCAUGCUGGAGGUAUCAGAAGUGCGAAUGCUGACAUAAGUAACGAUAAAGCGGGUGAAAAGCCCGCUCGCCGGAAGACCAAGGGUUCCUGUCCAACGUUAAUCGGGGCAGGGUGAGUCGACCCCUAAGGCGAGGCCGAAAGGCGUAGUCGAUGGGAAACAGGUUAAUAUUCCUGUACUUGGUGUUACUGCGAAGGGGGGACGGAGAAGGCUAUGUUGGCCGGGCGACGGUUGUCCCGGUUUAAGCGUGUAGGCUGGUUUUCCAGGCAAAUCCGGAAAACCAAGGCUGAGGCGUGAUGACGAGGCACUACGGUGCUGAAGCGACAAAUGCCCUGCUUCCAGGAAAAGCCUCUAAGCAUCAGGUAACAUCAAAUCGUACCCCAAACCGACACAGGUGGUCAGGUAGAGAAUACCAAGGCGCUUGAGAGAACUCGGGUGAAGGAACUAGGCAAAAUGGUGCCGUAACUUCGGGAGAAGGCACGCUGAUAUGUAGGUGAAGCGACUUGCUCGUGGAGCUGAAAUCAGUCGAAGAUACCAGCUGGCUGCAACUGUUUAUUAAAAACACAGCACUGUGCAAACACGAAAGUGGACGUAUACGGUGUGACGCCUGCCCGGUGCCGGAAGGUUAAUUGAUGGGGUUAGCGGUAACGCGAAGCUCUUGAUCGAAGCCCCGGUAAACGGCGGCCGUAACUAUAACGGUCCUAAGGUAGCGAAAUUCCUUGUCGGGUAAGUUCCGACCUGCACGAAUGGCGUAAUGAUGGCCAGGCUGUCUCCACCCGAGACUCAGUGAAAUUGAACUCGCUGUGAAGAUGCAGUGUACCCGCGGCAAGACGGAAAGACCCCGUGAACCUUUACUAUAGCUUGACACUGAACAUUGAGCCUUGAUGUGUAGGAUAGGUGGGAGGCUUUGAAGUGUGGACGCCAGUCUGCAUGGAGCCGACCUUGAAAUACCACCCUUUAAUGUUUGAUGUUCUAACGUUGGCCCGUAAUCCGGGUUGCGGACAGUGUCUGGUGGGUAGUUUGACUGGGGCGGUCUCCUCCUAAAGAGUAACGGAGGAGCACGAAGGUUGGCUAAUCCUGGUCGGACAUCAGGAGGUUAGUGCAAUGGCAUAAGCCAGCUUGACUGCGAGCGUGACGGCGCGAGCAGGUGCGAAAGCAGGUCAUAGUGAUCCGGUGGUUCUGAAUGGAAGGGCCAUCGCUCAACGGAUAAAAGGUACUCCGGGGAUAACAGGCUGAUACCGCCCAAGAGUUCAUAUCGACGGCGGUGUUUGGCACCUCGAUGUCGGCUCAUCACAUCCUGGGGCUGAAGUAGGUCCCAAGGGUAUGGCUGUUCGCCAUUUAAAGUGGUACGCGAGCUGGGUUUAGAACGUCGUGAGACAGUUCGGUCCCUAUCUGCCGUGGGCGCUGGAGAACUGAGGGGGGCUGCUCCUAGUACGAGAGGACCGGAGUGGACGCAUCACUGGUGUUCGGGUUGUCAUGCCAAUGGCACUGCCCGGUAGCUAAAUGCGGAAGAGAUAAGUGCUGAAAGCAUCUAAGCACGAAACUUGCCCCGAGAUGAGUUCUCCCUGAGACUUAGAGUCUCCUGAAGGAACGUUGAAGACGACGACGUUGAUAGGCCGGGUGUGUAAGCGCAGCGAUGCGUUGAGCUAACCGGUACUAAUGAACCGUGAGGCUUAACCUU
rnacentral:rRNA from 1 species